GAUCUGUCAUCAUAUGUUGAAAAAAUUUAAGCUGUAGUGAAUUAUAUUUGCCACAUACUUGGAUUAAGAUUUGAUUUAGGGUUUGGGAUUUUUUUAGGAUUUGGUUUAGGAUUUAGGAUUUGUGUAUGAUUUGAUUUAGGGUUUAGAAUUAGUCUAGGAUUUGAUUUAGGGUUUAUGAUUUGUCUAAGAUUUGGUAUAGAAUUUAAGGUUUGUUUAAGGUUUGAUUUAGGAUUUGAUUUAAGAUCUAAGAUUUGAUCCAAGAUUUGGUUUAGGAUUUAGGAUUUUUCUAGGAUUUGAUUUAGGAUUUGGUUUAGGAUUUAGAAUUUAUUUAGAAUUUUAUUUAUGAUUUGAUUUAGGAUUUAGCAUUUAAUCUAGGAUUUGAUCUAAGAUUUGAUUUAAGAUUUUGUUUAGAGUUUAGAAUUUGUUUAGAAUUGGAUUUAGUAUUUGAUUCAAGGUUUAAGAUUUGUCUAAGGUUUGAUUUAUGAUUUGAUUUAGGAUUUAGAAUUUAUCUAGGAUUAAAUUAGAAUUUGAUUGAGAUUUAUUUAAGAUAUAUUUAUAAUUAUUCUAAUAUUUUUUAAAACUUCUUAAGGAUUCUUUUAAGAUUUGUUGUGGAUUUUCUUUCAAUUCCUUUGAGAUUUCUUAUUAUUUUUUUUGUAAUUUAUUUAAGAUUUCUUUUAAAUUUGAUUAAAUCUUA
rnacentral:lncRNA from 1 species